GAGAACGUAGCGAAAUGCGAUACUUGGUGUGAAUUGCAGAAUCCCGUGAACCAUCGAGUCUUUGAACGCAAGUUGCGCCCGAAGCCAUUAGGCCGAGGGCACGCCUGCCUGGGCGUCACACGUCGUUGCCCCCCCAUCUACUCCUUCGGGAUUGCGGGGGGCGGAUGAUGGCCUCCCGUGCGCCUCGCCGCGCGGUUGGCAUAAAUGCCAAGUCCUCGGCGACGCACGCCACGACAAUCGGUGGUUGCGAAACCUCGGUUGCCCGUCGUGUGCGGUCGUCGCGCAUCGAGGGCUCGAAAAAAUUGCCGGGUUCCGGCUCGGCUUUCAACGCGACCCCAGGUCAGGCGGGGUUACCCGCUGAAUUUAAGCAUAUCAAUAAGCGGAGGA
rnacentral:misc_RNA from 1 species